rnacentral:rRNA from 1 species
UACGUAGGGUGCAAGCGUUGUCCGGAAUUAUUGGGCGUAAAGAGCUCGUAGGCGGUUCGUCACGUCGGCUGUGAAAUCCCGAGGCUCAACCUCGGGUCUGCAGUCGAUACGGGCGGACUGGAGUACUGCAGGGGAGACUGGAAUUCCUGGUGUAGCGGUGAAAUGCGCAGAUAUCAGGAGGAACACCGGUGGCGAAGGCGGUUCUCUGGGCAUUACCUGACGCUGAGGAGCGAAAGUGUGGGGAGCGAACAGG